CGCGGCCUAUCAGCUUGUUGGUGGGGUGAUGGCCUACCAAGGCGACGACGGGUAGCCGGCCUGAGAGGGUGUCCGGCCACACUGGGACUGAGAUACGGCCCAGACUCCUACGGGAGGCAGCAGUGGGGAAUAUUGCACAAUGGGCGCAAGCCUGAUGCAGCGACGCCGCGUGGGGGAUGACGGCCUUCGGGUUGUAAACCUCUUUCAGCAGGGAAGAAGCGAAAGUGACGGUACCUGCAGAAGAAGCGCCGGCUAACUACGUGCCAGCAGCCGCGGUAAUACGUAGGGCGCAAGCGUUGUCCGGAAUUAUUGGGCGUAAAGAGCUCGUAGGCGGCUUGUCACGUCGGGUGUGAAAGCCCGGGGCUUAACCCCGGGUCUGCAUUCGAUACGGGCUAGCUAGAGUGUGGUAGGGGAGAUCGGAAUUCCUGGUGUAGCGGUGAAAUGCGCAGAUAUCAGGAGGAACACCGGUGGCGAAGGCGGAUCUCUGGGCCAUUACUGACGCUGAGGAGCGAAAGCGUGGGGAGCGAACAGGAUUAGAUACCCUGGUAGUCCACGCCGUAAACGGUGGGAACUAGGU
rnacentral:rRNA from 1 species